UUGACCUCGGAUCAGGUAGGGAUACCCGCUGAACUUAAGCAUAUCAAUAAGCGGAGGAAAAGAAACCAACAGGGAUUGCCUCAGUAACGGGCGAGUA
rnacentral:rRNA from 1 species